AUGACGUGGCCAAUCUGGUUGCUGCACCCGACGCCCAUCCACCGGCAGCAGUCCUUGUCGGCCCGCCACGACGAAAGGUGGUUGCUCGGAUUGGUGAGGCCGGCCUUGAAGGUGAGAAGUGCAUCUCGCUCGCGGGGGAUGCAGAGGGUGCCUCCCGGUGCUGAUGGUGGUGGCGGUGGCCGGAGUGCAGGCACGGCUGGGGCUGAUGAGCUCCGAAGGAAGACGAGGCACCACGUCGCUAGGGCUAGGAGGAUCGCCGUAGCUUGGGUCGGCGGCCUUGGCCCGGCCAUUUUGGGAAGUGGACUACUAGUGGGGGGAGGGGGUGUCGAUAUGCCAAGCAGGAAGAAAGCUGGAUCCGGAUGCAAGGGGCAGGCGGACAGACAAUAA
rnacentral:rRNA from 1 species